rnacentral:piRNA from 1 species
UGAAUGCAUUCUGGAGUUUAGAAAUUCAUU